GAUUGAAUGGUUUAGUGAGGUCAUCGGAUUGGUGCCAUGUAGUGGUUUCGGCCGCUCGACCGGUGCUGAGAAGACGACCGAACUUGAUCAUUUAGAGGAAGUAAAAGUCGUAACAAGGUUUCCGUAGGUGAACUGCGGAAGGAUCAUU
rnacentral:rRNA from 1 species